GUCCACGCCGUAAACGAUGGAUACUAGCUGUUCGGCGCAAGUUGAGUGGCUAAGCGAAAGUGAUAAGUAUCCCACCUGGGGAGUACGCACGCAAGUGUGAAACUCAAAGGAAUUGACGGGGGCCCCGCACAAGCGGUGGAGCAUGUGGUUUAAUUCGAUGAUACGCGAGGAACCUUACCAGGGCUUAAAUGUAGAUUGACAGGACUGGAAACAGUUUUUUCUUCGGACAAUUUACAAGGUGCUGCAUGGUUGUCGU
rnacentral:rRNA from 1 species